GGAGCAGAGGCCUCCACCAGGCCAGCCUCCUUCCUUCCUUCCUUCCUUCCUUCCUGCCUCUGGUCUCUUGCCUCGCCUGGGCCUUGGCUUGGGGGGAUGGCGCUGCCGGAGCCGCUGAGCCUGGCGCAGCUGAGGCGCCUGGAGCAGCACCGCUACGCCGCCUCGGGCCGCUCGCUGCUGGAGCCGCCUCUGCAGCGCUACUGGGCCUGGCUGCUGGAGCGGACCCCGGCCUGGCUGGCCCCCAACGCCCUCACCCUGGGCGGCCUGGCCCUCAACCUCCUCCCCAGCCUGGCCCUCCUCGCCUACUGCCCCAGCGCCACCGAGCAGGCUCCUCCUUGGGUGUUCCUCUCGUGUGCAUUAGGACUCUUUAUGUACCAGUCACUGGAUGCUAUUGAUGGGAAGCAAGCCAGAAGAACUAACAGCAGCUCUCCUUUGGGAGAACUCUUUGACCAUGGCUGUGACUCCAUUUCCACAGUUUUUGUUGGUAUCGGAGCCUGCAUAGCAGUUCGACUUGGAACAAAUCCAGACUGGCUGUUUUUCUGUUCCUUUGUUGGGAUGUUCCUGUUUUAUUGUGCUCACUGGCAAACCUAUGUAUCAGGCAUGCUAAAGUUUGGCAAAGUUGAUGUUACUGAAGUACAGAUAGCCAUAAUUCUGCUCUUCUUGUUAUCUGCAUUUGGUGGAACAACAAUGUGGGAUGCAAAGAUUCCUGUGUUAGACCUAACACUGAAGAUGAUUCCUGUGGCUGGGAUAGUGUGUGGUGCAAUAUUUUCCAGUUACAAUUAUUUCAGAGUUAUCUUUGGAGGAGGAGUGGGGAAGAAUGGAUCUACAAUAGCAGGAACAAGUGUUCUGUCACCAGGACUCCAUAUAGGAUUAAUUAUUACUUUGGCAAUAAUGAUCUAUAAAAAAUCCUCAACACACCUGUUUGAAAAGCAUCCUUGCCUCUAUGCCUUAACAUUUGGGUUUGUGAGUGCCAAGAUCACACAGAAAUUAGUGAUAGCACAUAUGACAAAAAGUGAAAUCUUCUUACAAGAUACUGCAUUUAUUGGACCAGGCCUCUUAUUUCUAAACCAGUACUUCAAUGGUUUUAUUGAUGAAUAUAUCGUUCUGUGGAUAGCACUGUUCAUAUCCUUGCUUGAUAUGCUGAGAUACUCAAUUGGGGUAUGCAUACAGAUUGCUGCUCAUCUUCAUAUACAAGUCUUCAAAAUCUCAUCUCAUCAAGCUCCCGAACAGGUUCAAAACCAUAAUGAGUGACUUAUAGCUAAAGGCGAAGAGGAGAAGGAGUUGGGGGGAAUUGUGGAAUUAUGGAAAAUACGUUUUUUAAGGAAUGCAGAUGUGGAAGCUUGUAAAGAAACCCAGGUAGAAGUUGUUUCUCCACUGAGCCAUCAGAAUAACAUGGAUUGAAGAGAUUUGCGAACAGUUGCCAUCUCUUGCUGUUGCUGUUAUAAGAAAAAAGAAAAAUACUGAUGGAUUGUAACAUUUUGUACCAUAGUGUUCUGACAUGAAUUAUAAAUACUGAAUGUAUAAUUUUUCUAUUUAAAUGUUCUAUUUUAAAAUGUUACUGAAGUUUUCAUAAAUCAGUAUUAACACUCA